rnacentral:rRNA from 1 species
UGGGGAAUAUUGCACAAUGGGCGAAAGCCUGAUGCAGCAACGCCGCGUGAGGGACGACGGCCUUCGGGUUGUAAACCUCUUUUAGCAAGGAAGAAGCGAAAGUGACGGUACUUGCAGAAAAAGCGCCGGCUAACUACGUGCCAGCAGCCGCGGUAAUACGUAGGGCGCAAGCGUUAUCCGGAAUUAUUGGGCGUAAAGAGCUCGUAGGCGGUUUGUCGCGUCUGCUGUGAAAACCCGAGGCUCAACCUCGGGCCUGCAGUGGGUACGGGCAGACUAGAGUGCGGUAGGGGAGAUUGGAACUCCUGGUGUAGCGGUGGAAUGCGCAGAUAUCAGGAAGAACACCGAUGGCGAAGGCAGAUCUCUGGGCCGUAACUGACGCUGAGGAGCGAAACGGGUGGGGAGCAAACAGGCUUAGAUACCCUGGUAGUCCACCCCGUAAACGUUGGGAACUAGUUGUGGGGUCCAUCCCACGGAUUCCGUGACGCAGCUAACGCAUUAAGUUCCCCGCCUGGGGAGUACGGCCGCAAGGCUAAAAC